UGUGGUGUACCUGGGCUCUCUCUCUCCAGCUGGGAAAGAGAAGCGUUAGCGGAAGGGGCGAGGUUAAAGAGGUGAAGGGGCUGGGGCACAACUCCAUUUUCCCUUUCGACGAAUUUCCACAGUCUCUUCUUUCUUUCGCUUUUAUUCAACAGAGUGAGGCAGUGAAAGAGAGCAAUAGAGAGAGAGAGAGAAAGAGAGAGAGAGAGAGAGUGAAAGAGAGAAUCAAGACCAUUUUUUUAAGAGUCGAUCUUGGCUUUCUUACAAACAGAUGUUGCCUGUCAUUUGGCCGUUAAGCAGGCACCCGUGGACCUUCUGCCAAGUGCUGUAGGCGCCCUGAGUAGAGAGAGAAAACAUUUGGAAACAAUAAAAAGACAAUCGGUCUGGGUCUGUGCUGAUAUACAGUACGCCCUGCAUCAUUUCUACAUGUACCACCAGCAGACUGAAUUAGAGCACUGCAUCAUCUCCAAUCAAUCAUCAUCCUCCCAGGCAACAAGGGACAAGGGUUGCUGCCUCCUCAUUCCGAACCAGACGUGGGUGAGUUGAUUGAAGCCGUUUUCCUGCCACUCUCUUGUUUAUUUCUCAAUCUAUAUUUCCUAAUCUAUGGCUGUAGAUUGAGACUGCCUACCUCCCUGUCUCAAAAUGGUCGUGGUAGGUUCAGUGAGGAUUCAUAUUCAGCCAUCCUCAUGCACAUCCAGAUCAUUGCUCUGCCCUCCUUAUAUUGAAAUGAAAUGAGUCACGUGAAUGUUUCAAGAUAAACUGACUUUGUGUUCUUUUCCUUGGGUAUUCUGUAUAGUAGUUUUGAAUCGUUGGCUGUUGUGCGUACUGCUGGCUGCUGAACCAGGAUUUUGUCUGGCCAUCCCUUAAUAACUAGCAGCUGCAGCCUGGGAAUAGAGUGCAUGGGAGCUUAAGGAACCGAAGGCUAGCGUUGGGUUUACCUGGAGCCAGGAGCAUUUUUCAAAGUGCUGUAUUGUUUUGUCCAGGGGGUUGGGAGAGAGAGAGAGAGAGAGAGAGAGAGAGAGAGAGAGAGAGAGAGAGAGAGAGAGAGAGAGAGAGAGAGAGAGACAUAGAGAGAGAGAGAGAGAGAGAGAGACAUAGAGAGAGAGACAGAGAGAGAGAGACAGAGAGAGAGAGACAGAGAGAGAGAGACAGAGAGAGAUAGGGAGAGGGACAGAGAGAGAGAGAUAGGGAGAGAGAGUGUCGGUGGGAGGCGGGGGUCUCCAGAGAGAGGGAGGGGGAGGGGGAGAUUGGUCGAUGUUGUGUCUGGCUUACGGUUGCACUUGUUGUAUGUUACAGGCAGAGAGGCAGAGAAGGGGGGGGGAUGCGUUGCAUAAAUACCUCAUGGAAGGAAGCCUUUAUUGUCAUGAAUAUCGUGUGUUUGUUUCUAGUCUAUUUGGUACUCUCAAGCCAGCAUGAUUAAUUCAAAUCACAGUCUGUCUGGGAGUAGAAAUAGUACAACUAUAAAAUGUGCCUCUCGCAAUCCCUGAGACCCUAACUUGUGACGUUGUGCUCUCAUGUCCACGGGUUAGGCUCUCGGGAGCUGGGAGUGGUGCGCUGUCGUCCCGUCCGUGGCUCUCUCUGCAAGACAAAGGCGUUUCAGACUGUCAAACGUACAUAGACACUAUAUUGUCGGAGAAGGAAAACCGUCUGGAAAGAAAAGGGGGAAAAGGUUAGCUGGAAUCAGGCGGCAGUGUGUGUGGGGGGGGGUUGAAGGAAUGCCGGCUCGAGGGUCAUGUGACACAAUGGUGGGUUGAAAUCAGCUGAGGAAUCUUUGUGGUGGGGUGGAAGAUGGAGGGGGGAGCUUGCGUUACCAAGCUAACAUUACUAAUCCUGGACUUUAAGCUAACGUUACCAAUCCUGGACAUGUGAACGUUUAAGCUAACGUUACCAAUCCUGGACAUGUGAACGUUUAAGCUAACGUUACCAAUCCUGGACAUGUGAACGUUUAAGCUAACGUUACCAAUCCUGGACAUGUGAACGUUUAAGCUAACGUUACCAAUCCUGGACAUGUGAACGUUUAAGCUAAUGUUACCAAUCCUGGACAUGUCUCUGAGGCCCACAAAAAAAUAAAACUAGUCACUGGCCCAGUCUGUUCUGUUAUUCCUUUGUCUUUCCUCUGACAACUGGGAAAGUGGUUUCUUUCUGUUUCUGUCCAUGUCUUAUUCUGUCUUGAGAGCAGCACAAAGUACUGUGGAGAGCGUGAAGGUAUAACAGCUCGGUAUACUUGUGUUUGACCUCACUGAGCCCUCGUCUUCAUGCACACAUGCGUGCACACACACAUACACACACAAGGUAGCGUGUGCGUAGACAGUACGUUCGUAGGGGUUUGUAUAUCAGAGAGCCUGUAUGUUAGCAGUUAUUACCAUGUCACAUUGAGCCUGUAUGUUAGCAGUUAUUACCAUGUCACAUUGAGUCUGUAUGUUAGCAGUUAUUACCAUGUCACGGAUGUAGUGUAACCUUUUUUAACGGAGCAGCUAGCAAAUUCUAGUGUAUCUGCUAAACUACUUAAAAUAACUGCAAGUCUGUUGGGUUUGAACUUGCUUUAGGGACAGCAAACUGAACAGCUCACACCCAGCUUCUGAUAGCAACGGGGCUAACAUGCUUAGGGCUAACAUACAUGUUUUGUUUGCAUUCUGCUCUUGACUAUUUACAGUCCUCAUUAACAUGAUCUAUUGUCAACAAUCCUUGCUGUGAUUAGGCUAGCAUCAUGCUAAUAAAAGCACUGUGGAUUCUCCCUCCCUCUGUGAGCCAUGCUGGAAGGUAGAUAAACUGUGUUUCAGAACAGCGACUCCAUUAUAGCCUCGGCCCAUCCCCUCAUUGCUGCACUGGCCCAUCCCCUCAUUGCUGCACUGGCCCAUCCCCUCAUUGCUGCGCUGCAGGAGUACGUUCCUCCUCUCACUGCUAACCUCUUUGUGCUGGCUGUGUAAAAUGGCACCCUUUCAGGACUCCUCACCAGUGUGACAGUAUGCGUAAGGACUUAGUGCUCCAGAACAGUAACCCUCAGUCUAAUAUCCCUACACCGGCCGACGUGUUUAAACGUGUGAUUAUUUCUUCUGUACUACUAUAACUAACUAUAGCAUAGAUGCAAUAACAGCAGCUGCCCCUGUGAGAUGCGUGUGUGUGUGUGUGUGUGUGUGUGUGUGUGUGUGUGUGUGUGUGUGUGUGUGUGUGUGUGUGUGUGUGUGUGUGUGUGUGUGUGUGUGUGUGUGUGUGUGUGUUGCUCUGGUCUGGUGUGUCGUUAACUGGUAGCGCACUGCAGUGUGGGCAAUCCUGGGUAACAAGCAGCCUCAUCCAUGUACCAUGUGGCACACAUAGCUCAGCCCUGGGUCAGACAUUCUCACCACUAACUUAUUAACAGAGAAAGUCUAGCAUGUUUUAAAUCUGCAUUGUUGAUUCACACACAAUGGUUCAGUGUGGUUCGAGGGGAGAGUGAAAUGUGUGAAAUGUAGCAUUUCUUUUUGCUGCAACACUGUGUUGGGGUUAUAGUGCUAUAAGGUGUAGAUUUGCACUGUAAAGGUCUAGUUCAGGUAACUGUUUCGUCUUUGAGGGUUUUUCUGGGUCACUCGACGGACUAAACUGGGUUUCUAAUAGAAAUCUUUGCUCGUCUGUUCUUGCUAGAGCGCUCUCCUUGUAUAAAAAAGGAAACCUAUUUCGAGCCUCCACCUCAGCCCUGUGACAAACAGUUUUAUUUGUUCAGCUUGGUAAGCAAACAGCAGCGCUGAGGCGUCUCGCCCCGAUCUGAAGCGUUGCAGUGCAGAGAGACAGAGCUGUCUGGCUACAGCUCCAUUGUUGGAUUGUGUCUCGCUCAGCCUCACAGCCACAGCAUGCUCACGUUGCUUCCCUGGCCCUGCACCAGAGCAGGCGGACAUGCAUGUGCGCGCAGGCACACACACACACAGGCACGCACACACACACACACACACACACACACACACACACACACACACACACACACACACACACACACACACACACACACACACACACACACACACACACACACACACACACACACACACACACACACACACAGGCGUCUGGGGCCAGAGCCUUCUUAAAAACCGAAAGGUUGCAAGUUCGAAUCCCUGAGCUGACAAGGUACAAAUCUGUCGAUCUGCCCCUGAACAGGCAGUUAACCCACUGUUCCUAGGCCGUCAUUGAAAAUAAGAAUUUGUUCUUAACUGACUUGCCUGGUUAAAUAAAGGUAAAAAAAAAAAGAAAAAGAAGGUGGACUGGUUAGUUAGACAUGUGGUGUGAACUGUGUGUGUGUGUGUGUGUGUGUGUGUGUGUAUGUGUGUGUGUGUGUGUGUGUGUGUGUGUGUGUGUGUGUGUGUGUGUGUGUGUGUGUGUGUGUGUGUGUGUGUGUGAACAAAGGGUUCUGCACUAGGGCUGUUCAGGUUGAGCAGACAAUGUCGAUGGCUCCUUUGCACCUUGCCUGGUGACUCCCAUGAUGCCGGGCAGAGCAUACUGGUACCGAGUAGCGUGUACUGGGCCAGGAGUGUCCUUUGUGCCAGCAUCUUUGCUCCAGAACACGCGGUAGCAGGAGUUUACAGACCCCAUUCCGCAGUUUCCGCCACUCCCUGGAACACCCUUCCCUUGCUGCAGUUCUACUUGAAGGCUAUUGGUGCAGAGCAUUAUGGGUACUGUUGUGCAUCAUGCUACUCAACUCUCUGCACAGGCCAGUGUGGAAGUCAAUAAUCGGAUAGUGUGAGGAGAGUUGAUGAUCUGUGCUGUAAAGCACUUGUGGGUAGUCUGUGAGCUGAAACAACAGGUAUACGAGACAAGAUUGCGCAGGCAGCCACAAAAGGAUCCUUGCACUGCACUAGAAUAAGUGUGACCAAGUUUCAAGUUUUAUUAGUCGUAUGUACAGGAUACACAGUGAGAAUGGCAGAAUGGUGAACUUACUAAAUGAAAUGAGAGGUUGACUGUGUGAUAUUAGGUUGCUUCUUGUGUAAAUAUUUUCUGUCUGGAUUUUAACACUCCAAAAUAUACCGUAACCCUAAAGAUCUUUAUUUAGGGUCCAAUGAAAUGCUUACUUGCAGGUUCCUUCUGGACAAUGCAACAAGAAUAAGAAAUAAUACAAGAUAAGAAUACGAACAUAAAGUAAAUGGUUCAGUAGAAUAUAAUGAAAUGUUUAGCAUAAGUAUAAUAACAAAGCUAUGAACAAUAAAACCAGUUCAAUCAAAUUGUGGCAAAUGACUACUACAGUUUUGUGAUAUGAAGUGGAGUGGAUCCUGAGGAUGAACAUUUUGGACGGAGGUUUUUGUUCUUGGACUAACAAGUGGGCUUGUCUGGCAGCAGCAGCUUAGAGUAUCCUCACAGUGCUCUCUCGCUCUGCAAUCAGGACAGCUCAGACGUAGAAUCACUCUGUUGGAGCCCACACUCAAAGAAUUACAGCAGGGAACCUUUCUCAGCGUCCCAUUUAAGUGAAGGGUAAUUACAUUAAGGCCCUUUGUACACGAGAAGAAGACAUGAUGGUCUGCAAGCAGAGAGAUCAGGGCUCAGAGUCGAACACUGGGCAAUUUAUUGUCAAUUUGGACCAUUUGAAAAACCAUGGAUGGAGCUAAUGUCCAAACUCUAUCCAGGUUGUUUUUCAUUUUACCUUUCUUAAACUAGGCAAGUUAGUUAAGAACAAAUUCUUAUUUUCAAUGACAGCCUAGGAACAGUGGGUUAACUGCCUUGUUCAGGGGCAGAACGACAUUUGUACCUUGUCAGCUCAGGGAUUCAAUCUUGCAACCUUUCGGUUACUUGUCCAACGCUCUAACCACAAGGCUACCUGCCCCGCUGUGUCUCAGUAACACUGAUGUGCUGAACAUUUUACAGGGUUUGGGUUAGCUCAAUAAAUGAUCUCCCUCCAUUUACUGCAGUUGCUAUUCCAAUGAAAUAAGUGAGACUUUAUACCACACAUUAAAUAAGAGUCUUUUAUAUAUCUACACAUAGUGACACAUUAGAUCCGCCAUAUAAAACAGGUUGAACAUCCUUCUCAAGGCCCUGCCAGAGAAUAGAGCAUCAUUCAUUUAGCUAAUAACAUCACUGGUCAUGUCAUUAAGACGACACAUUAUUCUCUCGUUAGACGGAAAGCAAUCAGUCUUUGAGCUGCUUUACUUGAUCGUCUGGGUCUGAACAUUCCAGUAGGCUGGCAACAAACAGAAGCGGCAAUUGGGUCUGAAGGAUGAUUUGCUGCAGCAUGUGCAAUACUUGGCCACUUGAAGAGAUGUGUGCCUGCUGCAAAUGCUGGUGACACUUUACAUAUACCUGCUGUUAACAUAUGCACACUGUAACAUCGGGACCAGAGAAGCCAAGAGUCUGUCUAUCUUUCUCACUAUUUUUAAUGACAUGCUCUCUCUGUCUCUCUCCCUCUCUCUUUCACUGUCUCUAUCUAUCUCUCUCUCAAUGUAUGCUCACACAUACGGACACACACACACACACACACACACACACACACACACACACACACACACACACACACACGGCCCAGCUGCGUAGCUAGUUUAUUAGAUAAUGAGCAGGUAGGAGAGACAGUGCUGUCUACUUGGCCAUCUGUGAGGGCGCCUCCCUGUCCAGGUUAAAGGAGCUUUAGGAUUAAACACUCCCACCACGCUAUGUGGAUUAAUCACUACUCAGGACUAACCUAAUUAAUCCAAGAGGGAUAUGUCACUAGUGUAUGCCAACAGUCGCCACAGUCGCUUACAGUCUCCUCUAACCUCAUAGCACCCCAUUCCUUUGGUAGUGCACUACUUUUAGCCAGAGCGCACCCUAUUCACUUCAUAGUGCACUACUUUUACCUAGAGCGCUCCCUAUUCCCCAUGCAGUCCCCUACUUCUGGCCAGAGUCCAGCCUGUUUCCUAUGUAGUGCACUCUAAAGGCUCUGGCCAAAAGUGGUGCACUGUAUAGGGACUAAGGUGCCAUUUCAGAUAUGGCCUGUUUCCUAUGUGAUGUGGAGGAAGAGGGAAGGCUUUCCAUCCUCUUACUGCGUCUGAAGUCACACAGUGUCUCCUUAGACAUAUUCUGGUCAAGCCAGGUUCAUCAACACCGAGAGGAGCCAUGGAAAUCCCCCUGCUUAGAGUCAAGAGAAAGAUGGAGAACGAUUCUCUUUGUUCUCUUUUUUUAUUUCUCUCUCUCUCUCUCUUUGUCUUUCUCUCCUACUCUCUUUCUCUCUCUCUCUCUCUCUAGUUCUCUCCCUUUCUUUCUCCUAUUUCUCACAGGCACACAUACAGACACAAACACACAGACAGAAAAAUUAACACAGGCACACAUACAGACACAAACACACAGACAGAAAAAUGAACACAGGCACACAUACAGACACAAACACACAGACAGAAAAAUGAACACAGGCACACAUACAGACACAAACACACAGACAGAAAAAUGAACACAGGCACACCAACCAACUCUCUCCAGUCUCUCAGGUUUAACCCUGAGAGGGGAAUGUGUAAUUAUUGUGAUUAAUAGAUAAUCUAUGAUAGGCUUUAUCUUUGGAUUCAUCUACACAGGCGCAUUCUCCUAUGGCUAUCCCAAAGAAUAACCCUUCUGUACAAUAUAGCCACUAUCUUGCACAGUAUAAGCACUCCUUCUAUUCGUGAUCUGAACCACUGUUAUAUCUGUUGCAAGUUGAUCUCAAACCACAUCCUUUAUCAUAGAAACAAGUCUGGUUUAGAUUAUCAACCAGUCUGAAUUGCCCUUAUUCAAAUCUUUCUGAUAACAUUUUUUGGUCAUUCCCAACAUUUCUUCAAUUGAUCUGAUAAACUAUUCAUGUGAAGGUCUGUUUAUACACGCUAAUAAACCAUUAUCAGGUACUUUGUUAACCAACAUAUCAUGUGUGUGUAAACCAUGAACGGUAACACUGCUUACAGCCAGUGGGUAUAAUGCUUCAUUACUUGUUAUAAGAAUAAUGAGCCCUAGGGCGCUGUUUUGCGUAGUCAUGUGACAUGCCUGGAUUUUAAACUUUAUUUAAAGCUUUUUCAUCAAACUGUCCCAUUUUCUUUUUAUGUCAGAUGAUCUGGAUAAUAUCUUAUUAUAAUACUUACAAUAUGUUAUGUGUUUAUAUGCUGUAAAAAAAAGGGUCCGACUAAAAAUAGCUGUUAUUUAGUUGGAAUCAUUAUGAUAUUAUAAUAACACAAAGGAGUUAUAGUCUUAACCAUUUACAAAUAGCUGCUAUUUAGUUGGAAUCAUUAUGAUAUUAUAAUAACACAAAGGAGUUAUAGUCUUAACCAUUUACAAAUAGCUGUUAUUUAUUUGGAAUCAUUAUGAUAUUAUAAUAACACAAAGGAGUUAUAGUCUUAACCAUUUAAAAAUAGCUGUUAUUUAGUUGGAAUCAUUAUGAUAUUAUAAUAACACAAAGGCGUUAUAGUCUUAACCAUUUACAAAUAGCUGCUAUUUAGUUGGAAUCAUUAUGAUAUUAUAAUAACACAAAGGAGUUAUAGUCUUAACCAUUUACAAAUAGCUGUUAUUUAGUCAGAAUCAUUAUGAUAUUAUAAUAACACAAAGGAGUUAUAGUCUUAACCAUUUACAAAUAGCUGCUAUUUAGUUGGAAUCAUUAUGAUAUUAUAAUAACACAAAGGAGUUAUAGUCUUAACCAUUUAAAAAUAGCUGUUAUUUAGUUGGAAUCAUUAUGAUAUUAUAAUAACACAAAGGAGUUAUAGUCUUAACCAUUUAAAAAUAGCUGUUAUUUAGUUGGAAUCAUUAUGAUAUUAUAAUAACACAAAGGAGUUAUAGUCUUAACCAUUUAAAAAUAGCUGUUAUUUAGUUGGAAUCAUUAUGAUAUUAUAAUAACACAAAGGCGUUAUAGUCUUAACCAUUUACAAAUAGCUGCUAUUUAGUUGGAAUCAUUAUGAUAUUAUAAUAACACAAAGGAGUUAUAGUCUUAACCAUUUAAAAAUAGCUUACUAAUGUUUAAUAAACAAUGACCUACAAAAAUGUUCAGCAAAUCAUUAACUGGUGAUUUAUAAAUGAUCUAUAAAUGGCUUAUAAAUUAACACUAUUAUAAAGCGUUACCAUCAUUUGCCCAGCAAAGAAUAACCAAAUUCCCCUUUUUUGAUGAAAAAGAAAGCAAGCUGUUUAUUAAUUACAAUGUGUAAUGAGCGUCUCCUGUGUUACUGUGGGUCUUCUGUCAGUCAGAUAGUGAACAUACAGAAUGUGUAAUGAACGUCUCCUGUGUUACUGUGGGUCUUCUGUCAGUCAGAUAGUGAACAUACAGAAUGUGUAAUGAACGUCUCCUGUGUUACUGUGGGUCUUCUGUCAGUCAGAUAGUGAACAUACAGAAUGUGUAAUGAACGUCUCCUGUGUUACUGUGGGUCUUCUGUCAGUCAGAUAGUGAACAGGCAGAAUGUGUAAUGAGCGUCUCCUGUGUUACUGUGGGUCUUCUGUCAGUCAGAUAGUGAACAUACAGAAAAAAAGACAUUUAAAAAAUUCAUGUUAAAUAAUCUAUUAUAACUAGCUUUUAGAUCAAAUCAAAUGUAUUUAUUUACUACUAUGAGUGGUUAAAUAUGGAGGCGUAAGCUACAAAAUGUACCUUAUGAUACUGUUUAGUUGGUACGGCUGUUUUUUAAUCUGCUGCUGUGCUUUUGUUACAUAGUUUUUCCAUGUAGAAUUAAUAAGAGUUGGCAAGUGGCCCUUUUUCUCAGUCCUUUAAAAAUAAAUCCCACAUGCCACGCCAAUGGUGAGAACAAGGUUUUGACAUCUCUGUCUCACACAUAUUAUGUGUGAGUGGGCGCUUUUACAAGAACUGUCAAAGUUAACAUUUACGUUGUUUUGCAGACGCUCUUAUCAAGAGCAACUAGGGUUAAGUGCCUUGCUCAAGGGCGCACAUCAACAGACUUUUCACUUAGUCAGCUUGGGGAUUCAAACCAGCAACCUUUUAGUUACUGGCCCAAUGCGCUUAACCGUUAGGCUACCUGCUGCUCUAACGCGUUAAUAACGGCUGAUAUCUUUAAUGCCAUUCAAUUCUUUGACGUCGUUAAUCACAUCUCCAUUUCUUCACCGCACAGACCAUUUUAAGCACACGCGUUUCUGCAUGGACCCCUUUAAGUGCAACACACAACACGCUCUGUGCUGUGUGCAGUGUGCACACGGUCUCGGUAGAGCUGUCUGUCUCUAUUGUGUUGCUCAAACAUCCACUAGCUUCUUGAUUCAACUAACUUCACACAAUUGAUUUAAUCAGAACAAGACAUCCAUUCCAUGCAUUAACUGUUUUUGUUGUUAUCUCAGGUUAAAAAGAUUUAAACAAAUUAUCCCAAUUCUAAUAGCAGCUUGUGACUAGUUCAUGUUGAAGAACAUGGAUCAGUAGCCUAGGAAAGAUCUAAUAGCUGUAUUAUAUUUGACAUGAACUAAGACCUGGCUGAUCUGUUGUUAUUGUCUUCUGGGUUUAAAUGCUCUUUGUUCUUUGUAUCCAUAGACCCAGUCGGUACUAGAUGUGGUGACCCCAUCUGGUGAAAAAAACCUGUGGUUACCCCAUUGGCUAACUGCAAAAACUGUGCUCACAGCAAAACAGAAAUGUGCUCAUUCCUAGUCAGUAAAAGAUAGAAAGUCGCCUGUGGGGAAUACAACCUGUAGUUACCUAGGUUACCCCAUUGGCUCACAGAAAAACUUGACCUUUUUCAAACGCAAUUUUCUUGUUGUCUGCUUGUUUUAGUCAAUUACAUAACUACAUUUAAGAAAAGUACAACAUGUCUAAAGAUGACUUUUCAACAUUACCUGCUCCUGAGCGUUCUCACUACUUAGAAAAACAUAAUAUUGUAGGCCUUCCCUCAUGCCUCUUUUCAUAACGAUGCUAACAGACACUUGAGUGAGUGAGUGCUAGCUAUCUACUGACCGGAACAUUAAGCUAGCUAAGACCAACAACACAAACAAACAGACUAUACAGCUACAAGUAGUGAGUGGAGUUACAAACAGACAGUACUAAACAAGUUAAAUGUCUUACCUGUGAUGACAUUUUUUCCACACACAAAGCUACGUGUAGCCUGAAGUGUGUGUGUGUGCACGCAAGUGUUAAACUUCAAGAACAUUGAUAAGAGGGAGUAGGCCUACUUAAACAUUGGGAGCAUUAAUAGCUGUAUGUUACAGUGACUUUUGUGUUGUUUAUGGUGAAAAUGCUAUUUAAACAUUCUGAUGAAGAUCAUUUUGUGUUGUUUAUGGUGAAAAUGCUAUUUAAACAUUCUGAUGAAGAUCAUUUUGUGUUGUUUAUGGUGAAAAUGCUAUUUAAACAUUCUGAUGUGGAUCCCUUUGUGUUGUUUAUGGUGAAAAUGCUAUUUAAACAUUCUGAUGAAGAUCAUUUUGUGUUGUUUAUGGUGAAAAUGCUAUUUAAACAUUCUGAUGUGGAUCCUUUUGUGUUGUUUAUGGUGAAAAUGCUAUUUAAACAUUCUGAUGUGGAUCCUUUUGUGUUGUUUAUGGUGAAAAUGCUAUUUAAACAUUCUGAUGUGGAUCCUUUUGUGUUGUUUAUGGUGAAAAUGCUAUUUAAACAUUCUGAUGUGGAUCCCUUUGUGUUGUUUAUGGUGAAAAUGCUAUUUAAACAUUCUGAUGAAGAUCAUUUUGUGUUGUUUAUGGUGAAAAUGCUAUUUAAACAUUCUGAUGUGGAUCCCUUUGUGUUGUUUAUGGUGAAAAUGCUAUUUAAACAUUCUGAUGAAGAUCAUUUUGUGUUGUUUAUGGUGAAAAUGCUAUUUAAACAUUCUGAUGUGGAUCCCUUUGUGUUGUUUAUGGUGAAAAUGCUAUUUAAACAUUCUGAUGUGGAUCCCUUUGUGUUGUUUAUGGUGAAAAUGCUAUUUAAACAUUCUGAUGUGGAUCCUUUUGUGUUGUUUAUGGUGCCAUUAAAAUCCUCUGAUGCAGAUUAUUUUAUGUUUCUUUCCCUUACAAUCAAAACAUAGCAUGCCUAUAACUCAAUGCACUGCUUUUUAAAUGGAAAAUUGUUUAUUUAGGGACAAAUUUGGGCAAAUUCUAAAUUGCAAUUAAGGGAUGCCAUUAAGUUAAUUCAUUAUUUUAAUCGUUUGACAGCACUAGUUUAUACUGUACCCUAGUGAGUUAGGAGAGGGGUUGACUAAUUUAAAAAAAUGACCAGUGAUUGUCGCUUUGACAGUGCAUUAUAAAACCUUUCAUUUAAACUUUUAGAUAUAAAGAUUUAUAGGCUGGAAAAAAACAAUGCCAAAAUAUCAAGUCAACCUUGAUAUUUUUGAAAAUGAUGUUUUAGUAUAAUUCUCAGAAAGGAUAAGCCUACCGAUUUAGAUGAGAUGUUGCUAUAUUGUACACUAAGUGUUCAAAACAUUAGGAACACCUGCUCUUUCCAUGACAUAGACUGACCAGGUGAAUCCAGGUGAAAUCUGUGAUCCCUUAUUGAUGUCACAUGUUAAAUCCACUUCAAUCAGUGUAGAUGAAGGGGAGAAGACAGGUUUAAGAAGGAUUAUUAAGCCUUGAGACAAUUGAGACAUGGAUUGUGUAUGUGUGCCAUCCAGAGGGUGAAUGGGCAAGACAAAAUAUUUAAGUGCCCUUGAACGGGGUAUGGUAGUAGCUGCUAGGCACACUGGUUUGAGUCAAGAACUGCAACGCUGCUGGGGAUUUCACACUCAACAGUUUCCCGUGUGUAUCAAGACGGUCCACCAUCCAAAGGACAUCCAGCCAACCAAUGAAUUGAGGCUGUUCUGCGGGUGCAACUCAAUAUUAGGAAGGUGUUCCUAAUGUUUUGUACACUCAUUGUAUACCAAACCUAGCUUGGUUUCUCAGGUUCUAUGUGGGGGAGUUUUUUAAUACAUAUCUUACAGGAAACCACCUAUUUAUAAUGAUAGAAUUGUAUGUCUUUCUCUUUUAAGUGUAUACUUGUUCAGAAUAUCUCAGAUUGAUGAUGUACUGCAUGUAAACAAAAACAUUUACAAUUGCAUUUGCAACAUUGCUGUUUUCCAACAAUAAAGAUUCCGAAACCUGUCUUUCUGUUGUUGUUGUUUAAAGUUAUUCUGACAUUUUCUGACUUGAAAAUGGAAACGCUUAGGAAUGGGAAUGGAAAUCAUACUUAUUGUUUUAAUCUAUGAGACUAUGACAAUUAUUUCACAAUAAAUACAGUAGAACACCAGUGGUAAUAGGGUUGGAAAAUAAAAUGUGAACUAUCCCUUUAAGUUAACACACAUAAUAUCAGCAAAACCUCCAAAAGGAUCCUGUUCACACACAUCGCAA
rnacentral:lncRNA from 1 species